rnacentral:misc_RNA from 1 species
CGCGACACUCUCGUGCGUGCUUGUCGGUGCACGCUGGUGUGUCGGUUUUCUUUUGCCUUUUCUAGGUUUUCAAGUCUCCACUACAGCGCAAGGUGAGCAACAGUCGCAAUGCUGCGCACCACCCACGUCUCAUGGGCCUCCACGGCCAAGGGGUACAUGAAUCGGGUCAUGGUGUACGCCCAUCGUCGCCGAAAGGCUCGCUACCUGGCUCCCAAGAACGCACAUGUACGGUCGCCGCUUGCGCACAAGAUGCCGGAGGAGUACGGGAACACCUGGGACCCCCGCAGCGGCGUCGAGUGGCACAACCGCAUGCGCAACCGCAACCAUUAUCGGCACUGGCCCUGGGCUCGCUGGACCGACGACCCGGUUCGCUUUCACCAGGACAGCGUUUGCCGCCGCACCGUGUCGGCCUCGAGCACCGUGGCAAACAACGGAGCCCCGGAAUGGGAUUACUAUGCCGAGGUCGGCCAGGCGUACGAGACGCCGUCGCACUUUCCGCUCUCCUACACAGCCCCGUUUAUUUAUCAAUACACGGCCCAAUGCUGGUCGCGCGAGGAUCUGCAGUCAUACCUGGAGCGCAUUGAGCAGAGCUCCGGCCUCCGCACCAUCGCCGACGCGGCGUCCGGGAGAGAAGCGCUGUACACGUGGUGGCACAACGCUGGCAUGAACGUUAUUCCACUGGGAGUGCUGCAGCACCUGGAGCUGGUCUCGCGCGACAUUGUUGCCCAGAACGCGCGCAAGUCCUACCGCAUCGAGCAGCACGAGCGCGGCAUUCUGCGUACGCCCGAAAUGGAGCGAUACUACGCCCUUCCACACCUGCGCGGCCCCUCCAUGCCAGUGCAGCUCGCGCAGCCCUCUGGCAAGUAUCCAAGUGGCAAGUUUACGCAAAUGAUGGAAGAUGUGGCGAUUCACCCUCUGCAGAAGCCGGAUGCGCGAUACAAGCACAAUAUGUACCCUGCUUGAGGGCUCCUUCCGGGGAGCGCAGUGCCUUGGCGGGAAAUGCAGCUGUGGACAAGGGAGGAAGGAGAGGCAUCGGGACGCGCACACCUCUGUGUGGGGUGUGUCUUUUGGGAGUUCGUUGCGGUCGAAGCCGGGCACCGGUGCGCAUGCCCGUGUUCUUUGGUUGCCAAAUCGUCACCACCAUUCUCGUCAUAAAAGAAAAGCACAAGAGCACGCACAAGCG